CGAGAGAAGCAAUUCUCCACUACUCAACGCAAUGCGUCGCAUGCUGUAUCAACUAAGAGAAGGCAACAGGUCUAUGCCGAGUGCACAUAACAGACAUGGUCGAAAUGCAGAUGAUGCUCAACAAUGCUCCGUCUGUUGCUUAUAUACUGCCACGUCAUCAACUUCGUGAAAAACAGUGCUCCUAAAAGAGACUUCACAAUGGGCCUGAUGUUUUGAUAGUAGACGAUGUUGGAUUAAAUGCGAGGAGUGAGCCGGCACCACUAGUAUUGAUCAGUAAUAAUCCGUACUUGCCAGCUCGUUUUGCUCUUCAACCAACAAUGCGCAUGCUUCAAGGAGUACUAGAGGAAACAAUAG
ensembl:ncRNA F28A10.11 ncRNA